GACAAAUGGCAAGGAGGAAGAAAGUGACAUUAUUGUUGUUGUUGUUAACAAUCUGCAGUUAGAUUCAUAGGUUAAGACUGGUAGAAAUUUAAUGAUUCCAGUCUUAUUAUUAUUAGCAGUACUAGUAGUACUAGUAGUAGCAUUAAUCUAUAGUUAGAUUCACAAUCUAAGAUUGAUGAAAACUAAAUAAUUCAAAUCCUAACCAAAGACUUAAGAAGUAUUAAGGUAGUGCCUAAGGACACAAGCAAUUCCAAACAACGUUUUGCUAAAAUUGGGUUGUUUUUUUUUAAAAAAAAAAAGGGCGUUCACUAUGAUUAUUUUUCUGCUUCAAUUGAUAAGAAGCAAAUUCUUGGUGUCAGCCUUGCAAGAUAGAUAAGACUAGAAAAGCAAAGUCACUUGCAAGCCAGUAUAAUUUUUUAUGACAAGGUUAUAGUAACGAAAUCCAUAAUGGACUGUGUCUGAUAAACAAAAUAUGAUUCUACAGCAGAAAAAAAAAAUAAGAACCGUACAAAGAAGUGCAUUCUAAUUUUUCACAAUAAACAAAUUUUAAAGGAAGAUCUCAACCAUAAUCAAGAAACCCAGAAACAUUUGGCCACCACUGAACACACUCACAAAAAUUAAACCACAAAACAACAGAUGCCCAAAUGCAGAAAAGAUCGGUUUUAAUCUCUCUGAAGGACAGCAGCUGGAAAGUGUGAUUAAGUGGCCAAAAAAGCCAACACAGUGCUGGGCUGCAUUAACAGACGGAUAGAAUCAAGAUCACGUGAAGUGUUAAUACCACUUUACAAUGCUGUGGUGAAAGAUUGAAAAUGGAUGGUUUACUGCAGAUAAACCGCUGAAGAAGAAGAAAAAUGUGGAUUAAAAGAUUACAUCAAGGGAAGCUAAAAAAAAAAUGUUCAUGCAAUUUGGUCUUGUCCUAAUAUUGUGGCAGUCUGAUAAAAGGUCUUGGUGACACUGUGACUCCGGAAUUGCCAAAUGUUUAGAAAAAAGGAGGCAGAAAAUGAAAAGCAAGAAAAGAAAUCUAGACCCCUUGAGGAAAGAGGGAAGGCUAUCUCAGCACUUCUAAGGAACGAAACACUAUUCUGCAAUCUUAUUGCAAACAAGGAUUUUCUGAUGCCCAUUGGUGAGUUUGUAAUUUGCCUAUAUAUUAUUUUUUCCUGCAGCUCAGUCUAGAUUCCCUUGCUAAGGACUGGCCAGUUGAGUUUCAUCUAUAAAUACAAGUUCCUAAGGUAUCCCUGAGUGACCCCAAGCGAAGAGAAAUGCUGAGUUUUCUCAGAAGCACUUGCCUAGAUAGAGGAGGAGAUGGAACAAGGUAGACCCAAUAGCGGGAAGGAAAUGCAAAAUAAAAUAGGAUUGGUCCUAUAGCAGCUUCAUCCAUAUGUUAAACUGUACUGACCUCCUCUCUUGAUCACAACACAACCUCCUGAUAAGAAUUGAGACUAGAAGAAUCCAUACUGGGGCCGGAUUGGGAAGUACAGUAAGAUCAAAGUUAAAAUUUUCCUACUCUCCAAAAUGAAGGUGCCAGUCUGGGCAGAGGUGGGAUUCAGCCAGUUCGCACCAGUUCGGCAGAAUCGGUAGCUAAUUUUUUGUUGCCCAGACCCAGAAUGGACUUCCGGAAGCGGCAUUCACACAGAGAACCAGUGGUUCACAUAUUUGAAUCCCAACACUGAGUCUGGGGCUCCAUCUUUCAUUAGCUAUUUAUAGAAAUGUACGGCUGGAAAGGACCUUGGAGGUCUUCUCCAAGGUGAUGCCCAAGAGACUAUGCUUUUAGCUGCGAUGGCUUAUCUGCCCCUCAAAAAAAUUAUAAAAAGUGAAGAGCAGACCUUCCAGAUCAUGAUUUGAAGAAAAGAAGGAUCACCUUUUUCUACAGAGUUGUUUCCCAAGACAGUAAACCCGAUCCCUGCUUUCUGCAACAGUUGCCUUGUUUACAGCAUCAGGUUUUGCACAGGGAAUUAUCAGUUGGAGAGAAAGUCACAGCUGAGGGAUUCAUACACAACACCACACACGCAGCAAUCCAAAGACUCUAUUCAGUUCUGGUCAUCUGCAUCCCAGUUUGCCACAGCAACAGAUAGGUUCCUACAGCAGCAUCUGGUCAUCCAUGCGAAGAUGCAGGAAAGCCAAGGUGGAAAACUUUUCAGAAAUUAGCUGGUAGCGAAGAAGCAGCAACGAAUCAAAUUAUGUUCUCUGAGAUUAAAAUCAGCCAUAAGCAAAAGGAAAGAGCAGCUUUCUCUCUGUCUCCAGGAAGGAACUUUCUGCCAAACUGAAUGAAGCUAAAUCGGCUUUCUGGCUACGCAAGGUGGCUCCACUCUGAAUUAGAGCAAAAUCCAGAGUUUCCGCAACAAGUCAAGAUUGUUUCCCCACCCCUGAAUGGGAUUUAUGGAUUAUGCAACCUUUGGUAAUACAAUUCUCCUUCCCUCUUAGUCCAUUAUUGCUGAAAAUACUGUGGUUAUUAUUAAGAGCUCUCCUCUCCCAGACAAGGAAGUUUACUCUAAGUCAUGCACAAAUACUGUGUAUUGUUUGACCUGCUAAAGGUUUAUAUGUGAUAAUUUUAAAAA